CCUACGGGUGGCAGCAGUGGGGAAUAUUGGGCAAUGGGCGCAAGCCUGACCCAGCAACGCCGCGUGAAGGAAGAAGGCUUUCGGGUUGUAAACCUCUUUUGUUAGGGACGAAGCAAGUGACGGUACCAGACGUAUAAGUCACGGCUAACUACGUGCCAGGAGCCGCGGUAACACGUAGGUGGCAAGCGUUAUCCGGAUUUAUUGGGGGUAAAGGGCGUGUAGGAGGGAAUGCAAGUCAGAUGGGAAAACUAUGGGCUUAACCCAUAGCCUGCAUUUGAAACUGUAUUUCUUGAGUGCUGGAGAGGCGAGCGGAAUUCCGUGUGUAGCGGUGAAAUGCGUAGAUAUACGGAGGAACACCAGUGGCGAAGGCGGAUUGCUGGACAGUAACUGACGCUGAGGCGCGAAAGCGUGGGGAGCAAACAGGAUUAGAUACCCGAGUAGUC
rnacentral:rRNA from 1 species